rnacentral:lncRNA from 1 species
UUCUCUACGGUCAUCGGAUGUGGAGACAAAAACUGACAGAGCAAACAGCCUGCAAAGUAGCGGAGUAUUUGAUAAGAGGAGCUGAAACCACUUGAUUACAGAACUGAUCACCGAACCAUAUUUGUUGGACCGUUUGAUAGUUGUGACGGAUCAGAAUAGAGAAAGUCAACUGCCUUCUCCCGCCUUAAAGUCAGACGAUCUGUUUCCAGGAGGCAUGAGGUGAUCUGGAUGUGCUGUUCAAAAAAAAUAAAAUAAAACACUUUACAUGGAUGUGAUGAAUUCAAGGAAGGUUGAUCGAUUAGGAAAAGUAAAACAAAGCACUAUACAUGGAGGAUCCGUCUGUACGUUUUGUGACUUAUGUGCAGCUUGCGCCAACAAAUUCCGAUGUGCGCUCGAGAUGAGAAUAUGUUGAUUUGAUUUCUGAUCUUUUGAUUGCCAUGGUUGGGGACAUAAGAAAAGUUGCUAACAGGUUGUCGGUGUGGUAUUGGUGUUAAACUCUUGUAUUUCUAUAGAUUUCUU